rfam:Schistosoma rodhaini strain Burundi genome assembly, scaffold: SROB_contig0004739
AUCCAACUGACGAGUCCGAAAUAGGACGGAACGCGUGUCAGACUGGAU